GUCUAUAGUCAUGCUACCCUGAACAAGCCUGAUCCCAUCUAAUCUCAAAAGCUAAGCAGGGUUAGGAAGACCAGGUGCUGCAGGCA
rnacentral:rRNA from 1 species